AACAAACGCUGGCGGCGUGCCCAACACAUGCAAGUCGUACGAGAAAAUUCGCUUCGGCGAGUAAGUAAAGAGGCGCACGGGUGAGUAACGCGUGGAUAAUCUACCCUUUAGCUGGGGAUAACUCAUCGAAAGGUGGGCUAAUACCCGAUAAUACUGCUUCUACUGCGGUUGAGCAGUCAAAGGUAGCCUCUGUUUACAAGCUUCCACUGAAGGAUGAGUCCGCGUACCAUUAGCUAGUUGGUAGGGUAAUGGCCUACCAAGGCGACGAUGGUUAGCGGGUCUGAGAGGAUGAUCAGCCACACUGGAACUGAGACACGGUCCAGACUCCUACGGGAGGCAGCAGUGAGGAAUCUUGCGCAAUGGGGGAAACCCUGACGCAGCAACGCCGCGUGAGUGAGGAAGGUUUUCGGAUCGUAAAGCUCUGUCAGGUGGGAAGAAAUGUAUAGGGGUUAACAGCCCUUAUUCUUGACGGUACCACCAGAGGAAGCACCGGCCAACUCCGUGCCAGCAGCCGCGGUAAAAC
rnacentral:rRNA from 1 species